UGUUAUUAUAUGAGCCACUGGUCCAUGUCGUCCCUACUCAUCACAUUCACAACCACAAAUAAAUUAAACUUUGAGACCAAAUAUUUUAUCAAACACCUUUCCUUAUAAACUAUUUGCAGAACAAGAACAACAUGAAGUACCUGUUCUUUUUAGAAGAUGGGUGGACUCAUAUGAUGAACAUGAAGAUAAGGUGUCAUGGAAAGGGUAAACACCAAGUGAAGAUUGUUCAAUCAACUGAUUUGUUUGAAGACAUAAUUAGGAAAAGGGUUGUCGAGGUGUGUCAUUUCAUUAUUUUAGUUUUAAUGUUUUUUUAUGCUUGUUUUUUAUGUUCUUUAUUUAUUUUUUUUUUUUUUUGUGUUGUUUUAGUUUUGUUUUAGUAGUGUUUUCUUAUGUUUUUUUAUAGGAUUGGGAAUCCAAGUACACCCGAUCGGAAUACUACCAUUCCAGAGUUUUUUUAUGCUUGUUUUUUAUGUUUUUUUUUUUUGUGUUGUUUUAGUAGUGUUUUCUUAUGUUUUUUUUUAUAGGAUUGUCACAUUCUCUUGAAAUAAUUAUGUUCUUUUUCCUAUUGUCCAUUGCUCUUUAUGAGAACUGGUAUAGAUUCCAUGUCCUGUCAUUUUUUACAAUAUUUCAUUUAUGUGACCUUUUUUUGAUAUUAAAACAACAGUAAAAUAACACUACAAAACAGUAAUUUGUUGU